UCUUGAAAAAACUAAACAUAGACAUACCCUAUGACCCAGCCAUACCACUCUUAGGCAUCUACCCUGGGCAAGAGGAUCCAGGAUAUGAUAAGGGCACCUGCACCUCCAUGUUCAUUGCUGCACAAUUCACAAUAGCCAAGAUAUGGAAACAACCCAGAUGCCCCACUACAGAUGAAUGGAUCAAAAAAAUGUGGCAUCUGUACACAUUGGAAUUCUAUAUAGUGAUUAGAAAUGAUAAAAUAAUGGCAUUUACAGGGAAAUGGAAAGGUAUAGAACAAAUCGUGUUGAGGCAGACAAGCCUAGAACAUAAGACAAAAGGCGCACGGUCUCCUUGGUAUGUGGGUGUUAGAAAUAAAUAACAA